rfam:Populus trichocarpa scaffold_12_contig_179, whole genome shotgun sequence.
AGAAAAGCAGGCCUUGUGUUUUGGGAGCACAGGUUCCCUUACACUUCAGGAAAAUUAAUUGCCUUGUCAUUGGAUGAAUCUCUGUUAUUAUUGGUUACUGAAGGUUCCAUAACUGACAUUA